rnacentral:rRNA from 1 species
AUUGAACGCUGGCGGCAUGCCUUACACAUGCAAGUCGAACGGUAACAGGUCUUCGGAUGCUGACGAGUGGCGAACGGGUGAGUAAUACAUCGGAACGUGCCCGAUCGUGGGGGAUAACGGAGCGAAAGCUUUGCUAAUACCGCAUACGAUCUAUGGAUGAAAGCGGGGGAUCGCAAGACCUCGCGCGAUUGGAGCGGCCGAUAUCAGAUUAGGUAGUUGGUGGGGUAAAGGCCCACCAAGCCAACGAUCUGUAGCUGGUCUGAGAGGACGACCAGCCACACUGGAACUGAGACACGGUCCAGACUCCUACGGGAGGCAGCAGUGGGGAAUUUUGGACAAUGGGCGCAAGCCUGAUCCAGCAAUGCCGCGUGCAGGAUGAAGGCCUUCGGGUUGUAAACUGCUUUUGUACGGAACGAAAAGGCUCUGGUUAAUACCUGGGGCUCAUGACGGUACCGUAAGAAUAAGCACCGGCUAACUACGUG